rnacentral:rRNA from 1 species
GACGAACGCUGGCGGCGUGCUUAACACAUGCAAGUCGAACGGAAAGGCCCUGCUUUUGUGGGGUGCUCGAGUGGCGAACGGGUGAGUAACACGUGAGUAACCUGCCCUUGACUUUGGGAUAACUUCAGGAAACUGGGGCUAAUACCGGAUAGGAGCUCCUGCUGCAUGGUGGGGGUUGGAAAGUUUCGGCGGUUGGGGAUGGACUCGCGGCUUAUCAGCUUGUUGGUGGGGUAGUGGCUUACCAAGGCUUUGACGGGUAGCCGGCCUGAGAGGGUGACCGGCAACAUUGGGACUGAGAUACGGCCCAGCCUCCUACGGGAGGAAGCAGUGGGGAAUAUUGCACAAUGGGCGGAAGCCUGAUGCAGCAACGCCGCGUGCGGGAUGACGGCCUUCGGGUUGUAAACCGCUUUCGCCUGUGACGAAGCGUGAGUGACGGUAAUGGGUAAAGAAGCACCGGCUAACUACGUG